GGGGGCGACCUGGCUUCGACGUGGGUGGCAAAACCUGAGGUGCAUGCCGAGGAUGUAGCUGACCUCGCUAAACACGCUGCAAAAGAUAGUUGCAAACGACGACAACUACGCACUCGCUGCUUAAUACCCAGUAGGGUGCCGUCUGACUGGAGCCGUGCUUGUGCGUCCAUAUCUCAGGCGUCAUAUCUCACAAGAUCGUGACGAGGCAAGUCCGGGGCCAAAUCACUAAAACCUAACGGAAUCGCCAUAUGGGCGCCCUGUCAGUCGGGUUCCAGAUGGUUAAAUAUAAUAGACUCGACUAAGCAUGUAGAGCCUAAGGCGGAGUGCUUGCGGACGCGGGUUCGAUUCCCGCCGCCUCCACCA
rnacentral:tmRNA from 1 species